UUUGAACGCUGGCGGCAGGCUAAACACAUGCAAGUCGAGCGGAGAUGAGGUGCUUGCACCUUAUCUUAGCGGCGGACGGGUGAGUAAUGCUUAGGAAUCUGCCUAUUAGUGGGGGACAACAUUCCGAAAGGAAUGCUAAUACCGCAUACGUCCUACGGGAGAAAGCAGGGGAUCUUCGGACCUUGCGCUAAUAGAUGAGCCUAAGUCGGAUUGGCUAGUUGGUGGGGUAAAGGCCUACCAAGGCGACGAUCUGUAGCGGGUCUGAGAGGAUGAUCCGCGACACUGGGGCUGAGACACGGCCCAGACUCCUACGGGAGGCAGCAGUGGGGAAUAUUGGACAAGGGGGGGAACCCUGAUCCAGCCAUGCCGCGUGUGUGAAGAAGGCCUUAUGGUUGUAAAGCACUUUAAGCGAGGAGGAGGCUACUGAGACUAAUACUCUUGGAUAGUGGACGUUACUCGCAGAAUAAGCACCGGCUAACUCUGUGCCAGCCGCCGCGGUAAGAC
rnacentral:rRNA from 1 species